rnacentral:tRNA from 1 species
GCACCCGUAGCUCAGUUGGAUAGAGUGUCAGCCUCCGAAGCUGAAGGUCGUUGGUUCGAUUCCAAUCGGGUGCACCA